GGUCGCCUGGUGUAGUGGUUAUCACGUCUGCUUUACACGCUUCUUCAGCUCAAUAUCGCAGCAGGUCGCCGGUUCGAUCCCGGCGGUGACCU